UACGGGGGGCGCAAGCGUUGCUCGGAAUCACUGGGCGUAAAGCGUCCGCAGGCGGCUCGGUCAGUCGGGUGUGAAAGCCCGGAGCUCAACUCCGGAACUGCAUUCGAUACUGCCGAGCUAGAGUACGCGAGAGGAUGGCGGAAUUCCUGGUGUAGAGGUGAAAUUCGUAGAUAUCAGGAGGAACACCGGUGGCGAAAGCGGCCAUCUGGCUCGAUACUGACGCUGAUGGACGAAAGCGUGGGGAGCAAACAGG
rnacentral:rRNA from 1 species